rnacentral:rRNA from 1 species
UGGAUUAGUGGCGAACGGGUGAGUAACACGUGAGUAACCUGCCCUUAACUCUGGGAUAAGCCUGGGAAACUGGGUCUAAUACCGGAUAGGAGCGUCCACCGCAUGGUGGGUGUUGGAAAGAUUUAUCGGUUUUGGAUGGACUCGCGGCCUAUCAGCUUGUUGGUGAGGUAAUGGCUCACCAAGGCGACGACGGGUAGCCGGCCUGAGAGGGUGACCGGCCACACUGGGACUGAGACACGGCCCAG